GUGCUCGCUUCAGCAGCACAUAUACUAAAAUUGGAACGAUACAGAGAAGAUUAGCAUGGCCCCUGUGCAAGGAUGACAUGCAAAUUCAGGAAGCGUUCCAUAUUUUU
ensembl:snRNA U6 U6 spliceosomal RNA